AUUUGUCAAUUGCAACCCACAAGCAGGGUUGUCCUUUCCCUUUUGAAGGAUAGAAGAACUCAUUUCAAAAUAGGAAUAAUUGCUAAUGAAGAGUGGGUGACCCGUUACAUUGAUCAAGAUUUUCAUAAACAAUUUAGGAUGAUGAAAAGCACAUAUUGGGCCCUUGUCGACAUUGUCCGACCUUACUGCCCUGUUAAGUGCCAAAGAGGUGAUGCACCUCUAAUGACAGUUGAGAAAGCUGUCUUGAUGACAUUGUGUUAUCUGGAGAAGCAUGUGCCCUUGUCUGAUAUAGGCGAUCGAUUUGCUGUGGCUCAAAGCACAGUUUUCAAGGAGGCUAGAACUAUUAUUCAUAUAUUGUGUGAUCUUAGCAAUACAUUUAUUGUUUGGCCUAAAGAGAGCGAGUGUGUAGUGCUGAGCAGGCAAUUUGAGGCACGUGCGGGAUUUCCUGGUGUCAUAGGAGCCAUCGAUGGUUGCCACAUUGAAGUCCUAUCUCCAGCAAACCAGCAAUCUAGCUACAUAGAUCGCACGUGCAACUAUUCUAUUACACUUCAAGGUGGGAUUUUAUGAUUAAGCAAAACAGUAUAUUUUUGCCGUUAAUAUCAUAACUCUCUCAUGAUAAGAUUAGCUUUUUAUUUUGUAGGAAUUUGUACUGCAACAAAAAUAGUUACAAAUGUAUCUAUUGGAACAUCUGGUUCUUGUAAUGAUACUCGGGUUCUAAAAUACUCCAGCGUCUACCGGACGAUAAUGCUAGAUAGAGUAGAAUCCAUGUUCUUUAAUGAGAAUUAUCAUUUGAUAGGUGAUAAGGCCUAUCCUAACAGAAUAUGGUGCAUGGCACUUUUCAAGGAUUUUGGAAACCUUACUCCAAGACAGAAAACGUACAACUAUCAUCACAGUUCAACCCGUAUUGUAAUAGAGCACACGUUUCUUAUGAAGGGCAGAUGGAAGCGCUUAAUGAAAGUUAACACAGAGAUUGCCAAAGUUAGUGACAUUGUACUGGCCAUCUGUGUUUUGCACAAUUUUUGUUAUCUGCACAACGAUGAGAUGAUUCAGAAAAUGAUUGGAGAUAAAAGACACAUGGCUAAGCAACAUGUUCUCAAGAAUUAUGCAGACGAAGCCAGCAAAAUACAAGGCGCAGAAAAACGCAACAGAAUUGUAUGCCUGUUCUGGUUCUCUUUUAGAAAGAUUUCUUUUAUUGAUAAAUAAAUGAGAACUAGGUAUCUGAAAUAAAACAAUUCAACAAAUAUUGUCUUUGACAUUUAUUUCUCAUUUAUAUCUCAAAGUACAUAUUUGCAAAAUCAAAUGUUACUUCGACAGAACUACACUAAAUAAUAUAUACAGAAAAUAUGAAAAAAAAAGAAUAACAUUGUCUUAUACAUAUUUUGUAACAAAGAUAGAAACUCAAAAUAAAAAGGUACUCAGAUAUAGCGAAUUCGGCUCUUUGCCGAAAUAAUUAACGAAUAUUAACGUAAAUAAAACUACGAUAUAUUAUACAAAUCUGGACUUUCUGCAGUUUCUCACACUGUGAAAUGACUAAGGCACUUUGGCAAUGACAAGUAAGUACAUAAUAUCAUACUGGAACCUUUCUGUAAUAUCCCUUAACUUAAAGUAAAUAAUAGUAUAAAUAAAAUAGUAAUAUAGUUGUAAUAAUUUAACUUAAAGUAAAAUAAUGUAAUACUUUGGCAUUUCAGUAUAAGUACAUGAAAAGUGAGGUAGUCAUGUUUAAAUGGAAUGAUAACACUAAUGCUAAGCAAUCCUCUGUACUAACAUAAAUUAU
rnacentral:misc_RNA from 1 species